CCUACGGGAGGCAGCAGUGGGGAAUAUUGCACAAUGGGGGAAACCCUGAUGCAGCGACGCCGCGUGAAGGAAGAAGGCCCUCGGGUUGUAAACUUCUUUUAUCAAGGACGAAACAAAUGACGGUACUUGAUGAAUAAGCCACGGCUAACUACGUGCCAGCAGCCGCGGUAAUACGUAGGUGGCAAGCUUUAACCGGAUUUACUGGGAGUAAAGGGCGUGUUGGCGGGACUGCAAGUCAGAUGUGAAAACCAUGGGCUCAACCCAUGGCCUGCAUUUGAAACUGUAGUUCUUGAGUGUUGGAGAGGCAGGCGGAAUUCCGUGUGUAGCGGUGAAAUGCGUAGAUAGACGGAGGAACACCAGUGGCGAAGGCGGCCUGCUGGACAAUAACUGACGCUGAGGCGCGAAAGCGUGGGGAGCAAACAGGAUUAGAUACCCCUGUAGUC
rnacentral:rRNA from 1 species